CCACCUUACUGCCUGUAGAAUUUUAAAGCUGUAAUCAUAAAAGAACACUUAAUUACUUUUAGGUGCAUGUGAAGGAACGCUUGCCUGUUCUACAUGCCACUUAAUUUUUGAAGACCAUAUAUAUAUAGAAAACUUAGUGCAAUCACUGAUGAGGAAAUGGACAUGCUGGAUCUUGCCUAUGGCUUGACAGAAAGAAAUGGUGCAUCCAUCAGAUCUUUUUGGUUCUCCAGCAGCUUGGGCAGAGAGAGAGAGCAGGAAAGGCUCUAUGGCUUUAGAGUCUAUGUUUGGCUUGGAGUAGAAUCUUUCAUAAAAUUUAGCCAUUACCUCGGGGAUGUGAGAUGGAGAAUGAACUAUAUUGUCCUGGACAUCUUUAAGCUUAACUAUUAGAUAAAGAUAAAGAUUUCUGCUUCAUAUAGGAAGCCAUCUAUUUUGAAGGUUUAUUUCCUUCUCUGUAAAGUCUAUGUUUAAAAUAAAAUAUAGUUUUUAAAAUUUUAUUGUGUCCA
rnacentral:lncRNA from 1 species